UAAUUCUUGACUUAAAAUUUCAUAUCAUUAGUUAUACAUUUCAUUAUGUGCGUAUAUAUCAUAUUGCCUAUUCAUUGUGGCGAACGGUAACUAUUUCAUUUUGUUACUAUGAGUCCUACCUCAUAGGCUACAUUAUCUCUUCGUUGUAGCAAACGGAGUUUUCACAUUCAUUACUAUGAGCCGUACCUCAUAGGCUACAUUAUCUCUUCGUUGUAGCAAACAGAGUUUUCAAAUUUAUUACUAUGAGUCGUACCUCAUAGGCUACAUUAUCUCUUCGUCGUAGCAAACAGAGUUUCACAUUCGUUACUAUGAGCCGUACCUCAUAGGCUACAUUAUCUCUUCGUUGUAGCAAACGGAGUUUUCGAAUUCGUU
rnacentral:lncRNA from 1 species